rnacentral:rRNA from 3 species
UGGGGAAUAUUGCACAAUGGAGGGAACUCUGAUGCAGCGACGCCGCGUGAACGAAGAAGGCUUUCGAGUCGUAAAGUUCUUUUAUAUGGGAAGUUAAUGACGGUACCAUAAGAAAAAGCCCCGGCUAACUACGUGCCAGCAGCCGCGGUAAUACGUAGGGGGCUAGCGUUGUCCGGAAUCACUGGGCGUAAAGGGUUCGCAGGCGGAAAUGCAAGUCAGGUGUAAAAGGCAGUAGCUUAACUACUGUAAGCAUUUGAAACUGCAUAUCUUGAGAAGAGUAGAGGUAAGUGGAAUUUUUAGUGUAGCGGUGAAAUGCGUAGAUAUUAAAAAGAAUACCGGUGGCGAAGGCGACUUACUGGGCUCAUUCUGACGCUGAGGAACGAAAGCGUGGGUAGCAAACAGG